CUUAUUAAGAGGAGUGGAGGGAACAGGCCCUGCGAAACCCAGCAACCUACUAAUAAAGUGUGGUGCUAAUUCCUGCGGGAUUAUCCGAAAGAUAAGA
rnacentral:ncRNA from 1 species